rnacentral:lncRNA from 1 species
UUUUUUUUUUCUUUUUGUCUUUUUAGGGCCACACUCAUGGCAUAUGGAAGUUUGCAGGCUAGGGGUUAGAUCAGAGCUGCAGCUGCCAGCCACAGCCACAGCCACAGCAAUGUAGGAUCCAAGCCAUGUCUAUGACCUACACCACAGCUCACAGAAACACUGGAUCCUUAACCCACUGAGCAAGGCCAGGGAUCAAACCCACAUCCUCAUGGAUACGUUAGGUUCAUUCCCACUGAGCCACAAUGGAAAAUCCUAAGCUUCCCAGUUUUAUAUGUAUAGUCUGAGAGCAGGAGGUACAGUGAAAAGAAUGAGGCUCUGGAGUCCAUAGGUUCAUUCCCACUGAGCCACAAUGGAAAAUCCUAAGCUUCCCAGUUUUAUAUGUAUAGUCUGAGAGCAGGAGGUACAGUGAAAAGAAUGAGGCUCUGGAGUCCAGAAGUCUUGGUUUCUAAUGUCAGAUGUGUUACUAUGUCACCCUAAGUCAAGUUAUUUAAUGCCUCUCAGCCUCUUUUCCUUGAUUUAUACCAAGGCAUGAACAAUGACUCCCUCACUGCAUCAUUGUGGAGUUAAAAGAAAUAAAAUAUAUGGAAUGAUUAGCAGGAAACCUGGUAUAAAUGCAUGCCCAGAUUAUUAUUGUCCCCUUUAUACCUACAGUCCACUGAAUAAAUGACUGAAAUAAAAUCAUAAAUAAGAUUUUCCAUAGUCAUGAGAAAGAUUUUUACAGACCAUAAACACAUGAGCUGUAGAAACAACAUUUGGGGGAAACAACCAGUCUUUUAUUUUAAAGGGAAAACAAAUGAAUUAUCUAUUGCAAACCUGAAGUAAACUAGUAAAGAAGAAAAAAGCACCAGUAAAUGUUCAAAAUUUCUACAAUAGCUGAUGUGAGAAGAAUAAGAGGACCCUUGAUCCAUCCAGCCUGCUACCAUGUUCUGCAUAAUUACAAAUUUUCAAUGGCUUCUGCAAGGAUGCCGUUGAUCAUUAUAUGACAACAAACCUGUAAGCACCUGUCUGUGUUAGAACAGUGACACUCACUGGUUAUUUCUGAUACUGAUAGCAAUACUCACUACUAACACAUCCCCCUCUAAAGCAAACUUUUAAAUUAUCCUCAUAGAUGUAAGUAAGGUCAAGAAGUGGAUUCCAACUCCUAAAGUUUCCCUUAUAAUUACUUGGACCAACAUGAUUUUAAGAGUUAUUCCAAAUGGAAUGAAAUGCCUUAACUGUGGCUCCCUCCCUCUUGAGCUGCCCAAAUAUAUUCUUAACAGUGUUAAUUGGAGUAGCCCUAGAGAAGAUUCAUAAAUAAUAAUUAAGAAUUCUAGAAGAUCUUUCAAAGUUCUCCAGGGAGUUCUCAUACUGUGCAACAGAAACAAAUAUGACUAGUACCCAUAAGGAUGCAGGCUUAACUCCUGGCCUUGCUCAGUGGAUUAAAGAUUCAGCAUUGCUCUGAGCUAUGGCUCAGAUGUGGCUUGGAUCUGGCAUUGCCGUGGUUGUGGCAUACGCCUGCAGCUGUAGAUUCGAUUCAAACCCUAGCCUGGCUUGGCAGCCAUAUGCCUCAACUGUGGCCACUAAAAAAAAAAAAAAAGUUCCAGCUUCCAGUUUCUGCUACUCAAGCAUCCAGAGCAAAUACACAUUUAUGUGACUUAUAAGCUAACAACAUUUUCCACAGUAAAGUCUGGUUCCUUUGCUCACAUGUAAAUUAUGUAAACAUGUAAAUUAUGAAACUUUUUUUAAAUUGUUAAGGCUCUAUUGGUUUUAGAAGUAACAGUGCUUAUCAAAUCAGUGCCUUUGCUAUCAUUCAUUAAUGAUAAUUCCUCACUGCUGUGAAACAUAAUAGAAGCAUCUAUAGCUUCUUAUCAAUGGGAUGAUUUUCUUUAACCGCACAAAAACAGCAAGAAUGACUGACCACUUUUCCUCUCUGAACCCCUUACCACAGUAAAAACUUCAAGUCUCAUAGUAAAACCAAUCUCAGGCUUAAGGAGGACUUUAUCUUGUGUCAGUGACUAGAAGGAUUCUACUCUGACAGCAUUUAUUUUCUUCUCCUUUGUAGACUGGUAAAAGAAAGAGAUCCUUUGAAUUUUGGGGACAUAAACAGGAUGCUUAAUAUUAGUCACCCUUCAAAGCAUUAAAGGGAGGAUCUAUUACUCUAAGGCCAGAAGAAGCCCAGGCAUCUAAAACAGACAUAUCAUUUCUUAUUUUAGAGAUGUUUGCAUUCAGGGACUUAUAAAGAAACCACUAACUUGCCCAAGGCAGUAGGGUUUUAAUAAACCCAUUCAUGUAAUGACAACUUGUUUUUCUUAGGUACCUAGAGUAUUCUUUAUAGAAAUCAGUGCACAUAAUAUCAGUUACCAAUACAUGAAAAAAAUAAUCUUGUCAUCUACCACUACCUAUUACAGAGGAUAUUAAACUAAUUAAUUUUCUUUUCCUUCUUAAAAAAACACAUUUAGGCCACGAAGAGUUGUGAUAACACUGUGUUUACAUGCUGUUUCUACCAUUCCCCUUUCUAGUUAGCACUGGCGGGUGCUUAUCCCAAGAGAGUUUCCAGGCUAAAAAUACAGAUGCAUUUAGAGAGGGUCAGCUCUGUAGUUUGAGAGCUGGAAAAGAAAUAAUCCCAUGAAGAACGUAAAAGGUAAAAGCAUGGGUGAGGAUGAAAAUAGAGAAAAUUUGGAUCAAAAUGUCCAUUUGGCUCUGUUUUCUCAGAAUGGAUUAUUUCUAAACAAUAGCAUCUGCAAGAACAAAACCCAGAGAUAAAUUAAAAGGAGGUAGGAUCAAGAUGGCAGAAGAGGAAGACUCUGAACUCACUCCCAACCACAGACAUACUGAACUUAUAGCAACAUAUAGAACAACUCUGCCUAAGAUGUCCUCAAGACCAGCAGAACAGCUCUUCUACAAUUAAGAAUACAAAGAAAAAAAAUCACACUGUGUAGGAAGGGAAGAGAAAUAACUAGUCAGAACUCACACCCUCAGUGGGCAACCCCAAAGGUGAAGGACAUAUCCAAAACUAGGAGAUCCUCCAAAAGGAGUGAGGGGUUUGAGCCCCAGGUUGAGUAUCCUGGCUCUGGGGACUAGCACCUGGAAAAAUAAGACACCACUGGUUUUGAAAAUCAAUGGAGCCUAUAACCAGGAAAGUCAGAGGGUUGCAGGAAACCAAGACUCCCUAGACAGCAUAUGUAUGAACACACUUAUUCUAAAUUAUAGCAUAGAAGCAACAGAUUGAAAAGUGCCUGGAAUUCUAGCUGGUCUGCUAAGGCUGCCUCAGCACCCCCACCAGCUCACACCAAACUCCAGCUUCAAGCCCCUGCAAAGGCAGCAGCCCAGGAGAAAUUCCAACACACAGUAGGCUCCAGCUUUUCUGGCUUCAGCACAAUCACCAAGAUAAAGGGCCUCAGUACAUCCCUGAAAUCCCAGUCCAUGCUGGGCUCUGGCUCGAGCCAGUAGUUAAAAGAUACAUAAAAAUAUGUAACAUACAUCAAAAAUAUAAACGUGGGAGAGGAGUAAAAAUGCAGAGCAUUAGAAUGUUAGCACUUAAACAACUAUCAGUUUAAAAGAGACAUAAACAUAUAUGUGUGGAUGCAUGCAUAUAUGUAUAUGAUAUCAUAAAACAAAAACCUAUAAUAUACAAAAAACAAAGAGAAGGAACCUACAUGUAACAUUAAAGAAAAUCUUCAAGCUACAAGAAUAAGAAAAAAACAGAGAAGAACUACAAAAAUAAUCAGAGAACAACAAAAUGGCAGUAGGCACAUAUCUAUCAAUAAUCAUUUAUUUUGUUUUCUUUUUGUUUUUGUUUUCUUUUUUAAGGGCACACCUGUGACAUAUGGAAGUUCUAAGACUAGGGGUUAAACUGGAGCUGCAGCUGCUGGCCUAUGUCACAGCCACAGCAAACCAGAUCCAAGGUGCAUCUGUGAUCUAUGCUGCAGCUUGCAGUAACUCUGGAUUCUUAACCCAGUGAAGCAAAGCCGGGGAUUGAACUUGCAUCCUCAUGGACACUAUGUCAGGUUCUCAACCCACUAAGCCACAAUGGGAACUCCUAUCAAUAAUAAUUUUAAAUGUAAAUGAAUCAUUUUAAUGAGUGGAUUAUAAAUGAAUAAAUAAAUAAACAAAUAAACCAACGAAUAAUACUGCUUUCAAGAGAUUCACUUCAGAGUUAAAGAUAC